UACAGAGGGGGCAAGCGUUGUUCGGAAUUACUGGGCGUAAAGGGCGCGUAGGCGGCCUGCUAAGUCGAACGUGAAAUCCCUGGGCUCAACCCAGGAACUGCGUCCGAUACUGGUUGGCUUGAAUCCGGGAGAGGGACGUGGAAUUCCAGGUGUAGCGGUGAAAUGCGCAGAUAUCUGGAGGAACACCGGUGGCGAAGGCGGCAUCCUGGACCAACGCUGACGCUGAGUGAGCGAAAGCCAGGGGAGCAAACGGG
rnacentral:rRNA from 1 species